AGAAUCAACGCUGGCGGCGUGCCUAACACAUGCAAGUCGAACGCGGUUGCCCCGCAAGGGGUGACUGAGUGGCAAACGGGUGAGUAACGCGUGGGUGACCUACCUUCGAGUGGGGGAUAACGUUUCGAAAGGAACGCUAAUACCGCAUGACAUCCUGCCUUUGGACAGGCGGAGAUCAAAGCCGGGGAUCGCAAGACCUGGCGCUUAAAGAGGGGCCCGCGUCCGAUUAGCUAGUUGGUGGGGUAACGCUCACCAAGGCGACGAUCGGUA
rnacentral:rRNA from 1 species